AACAAAGUUAGUUCAUUCUAUAGGGUGAUGCAAAACCUUUUGGCCAUAGCUGCACAUGAUGGUGUUGUACUUAAGAACAUUUGCAAACAAGGUGUCAUUGGAAAACCAAUCUAUACUCUCACCACUGUGAAGUGUCUCCUACCCUGUCUGUCCUACAUGCUCCCCUACACUGUCUGCUUGCUGACAGCAAUGAGUCUAUUACAAUACGAAGGUGGCUUCAUUAGAUUAAGCAUGUUAGAGGAAGACAACCAAACAGUGCUGAGCAGCUGUCACUACUUUGAGGAACAAUGGAAGAAGUAAUGGAAAGACUUAAGGCUAGGUGGGGUGUUUCAUAACAUCCGAAAAACACACUAGCAGUCAGCAGCCUCCUUCAAGAACCUACAAAGGAGAGGGAGACUGUCAAUGGCUGAUGGAUUUUCACUUUUAGUAUAAAAUACAGGAUCAUUUAUUUAAUUUCCAACAGACAGUGGUUUGCACUAAUAUUUAACUUCUCUGCCUUUAAGUAUAAUGGGGCUGUCCUCAUUACCAUCCUAAAUGUGUGAUGAUAACUCAUGCUUAAAAAACACGUUCUCACUUGUCACUUUUCACCAUGCUUUUCUGAGUACGCUGUGUAUUUACUAUAGGUUACCAUGGUUUGCCUUGUUUUCUGCAGCUCCUUUUUUUUUUUUUUUAAGCCUGUUCAUUUUGAAACUUUCAUAACCCAGUUCUGGGAAUCGCUAUUUGAAUUUAUUAGUAAACCUGCAGUUUAGCUACAGGACAAUUACAGAAUGAAUUUUACACAUAAGGUGUCCGAAGCAGUUUGCUGUAAGUUACAUAGUUAUGUAGUUGAAUCUCUGCGUCGUUUCAUCUUUAAAGAAUAUAUCAAAACUUCCCAGAAGGUCAUUCUUAUUAUUCUGUAUACAAAUCAAAAUCAACUUCUUGCAGCUUUGCUUCUAAUAAAGAACUUUUGUUUGAAUCCCUUAUGAAAUAGAAUUGCUUACUUUCACGAUGUUUUACUUAAUAUAUGUAGACAAUCAAUUCUGCAAAUGACAUUAUGUUGCGGAUUGCUUUUUACUACAUUGCAGCUCAUUAAUUUUAAUCUCGAAUUGCAUUGUGCAGUAAUAGUUAUCCCUCUACUGGUAUUUGGUGAGAAUGCAUGCCAAUGAACUUGAAUGCACUCUUCAAUAUCUCAGCAGACAGUACGCGCCCCCUCUUCUCUCUCCUACAACACUCAAGUCUGGAACAGCCAGGCAGCCGGGCAGUGAAGAAUGUGUGCGGUCCAGGGACGGUUUUUUUCCCCACGGUGACGGGGCAUUGUUGUGUUUUGAUGUAAAAUUCUAAAAAGCUGUUCAUAUAUUUUUUUCACUUUCAAUAAAAAAAAUAAAAAAAAGUUAGAAAGAUUUAUUCUUCAGAAUUUUGUGCAAAUGGAGCAAAAUAUUAGCCAGCCUCCUGGAUGUGAAGGUGAUCCUCCGAUAGCAGAGCAGAUUCUUUACAUAGACAGUGCUGAAUGACAACUGCUACAGACGUGGGAUACCAGAUAGGUGGACGAUUCCAAAUAAAAAAAGAAACCGACAUUGAUAUACCUACUAGCACGCUAUAUGGGGUUCUAACAAUGAUGACUGUUCUGGGAAAUCUCGUGUACCUCGAAGAAAUCGUGUAUUUAUUGAGUAAAACACCCUUCUCUUACAAAAGGACGAUUUACAUCUGGAUCACUGGGGCGCCACCGGUCAUAGCAGCCACUUCCUGAUUUGGACUUUGGGUACCUCGCUCAACAACCAUGUUUACAGACUUCACUGCAUCCAUCUACUUCACGAUCUGUAUCCAUAAGUUCCUGGUGAUGAUAGUGGAGGAGUAUGGUGGAGAGGAUGCCUUCAUCCACAGGCUGCAUGGAGUCCCCAUGAAGAUCAGCACUGGACCCUGCUGCUGCUGCUGCGACUGUCUACCUACUAUACCAAUGGCCAGAUGAAAGUAAAUGGCGCUUUCCUCUGGAUAACUAUAAUCUCUGUUGCUGCAUUCAUACUCUCACUAUCGCCAAUGUGGAAUCUCUUCAACCAAGCAAAGUCCAACCUCCAGGCACAACAUAGUACCCAAGUUUGCUUUAAACCAGAGUGUUCUUAUUCUGGCCCAGGCUCAGGGUAGGAUCAUUAACUUGCUGGUCAGCACUGGGACGUUAAUGUUAGUCUACAUAUAUAUAUACAGC